GGGAAUAUCUGUAAUUCAGUGGUAGAGUAUCUGCUUUGUCUACAGAAGGCCCCAGGUUCAAGUCCAGACAUCUCCA